rnacentral:lncRNA from 1 species
CCAACAUGGUACAUGUAUACCUAUGUAACAAACCUGCAUGUUGUGCACAUGUACCCUAGAACUUAAAGUAUAAAAAAAAAAGUUUGUUAGCAGGUCAAGGAAAAUAAAGAUCAAGAGCCAAGGAAGGCAUUCCCUGGGAUAAAGAUAAUAAAUUUCAACAAAUCAACACUAAAAGAGUGAACCUGUGCUCAUCUGUGCUCCCGAAAGAAUGGCUGCUUGACAAGCUCAUCAACUGCUGUAAAAGGCAUUUUUCCUGCUGUGUGUCUAAGAAAAGCACCAAAAAACCACCAUGACUCUUUCCAAGGGAGAAAUGACAGCUCCGUCUUUGACCUGAAUAGCAUGAAAACAAGGCAGUCUGAUCCAGAGAGCUGCCCUGUCAUGGAGAGAAUAACCCUUGGGGACACCAAGUACCCAAACAGCACAGCACAUGAAUAUAAACAAUGAAUACCCAAUGGCUAUAGGCCUCCUUUGGCUUACAGCCCCUCACAGCACUUUAAGAGGUGAAAAUAGAACUGGAAGACGCCUUAGGGAUCCCCGGGCACAACCCCCGCUUUUUGCAGAUAAGGAAACUGAGGCUAGUUAACAUGUCUAUUAAAGAAGCUGGAGCAGGGUGAAAGCUAGAACCUUGAUCUCAAACUCUCAGGCUUCUGUUUUAUUUUCUCUAUCACCCUGCAAGCCCAGAUCCCAGAAGGGAACCCCAUGGUUCCCAUCACGCUGCUAUAGACUGAAUAUUUAUAUCCCCUCAAAAUUCAUGUAUUGAAACCUAAUCCUCAAUGUGAUGGUAUUUGGAGGUGAGGCCUUUGGGAAGUGAUUAGGUCAUAAGGGUGGAGCUCUCACCAGAGGGAUUAGGGCACUUAGAAAAGAGACCGCAAGAGCUCCCUGGCCCUUUUCUGCCAUGUUGAGGACACAGUGAGAAGAUAGACAUCUAUGAACCAGGAAGCAGGCCCUCACCAGACACUGAACCUGCCAGUUUCUUGAUCUUAGAAUUCCCAGCCUCCAGAACUUGUGAGAAAUAAAUUUCUGCUGUUUACAAACUACCCAAUCUGUUUUUGAUAUAACAACACAAAUGGACUAAGACACACACUCUAAUCUCCUCAUGAGAAACUGGGCUUUUACCAUAGGGGAGCUGAAGAGAAAAAAACAUUGUUUUUUAUUUUCUACUGCUAAUUUGAAAGGAUACUCAUAUUUAUCAGUGCCUCAUGGGGGCAGUCCAGUCUGUAAGUCCCAGAGGGAGAUAUGGAGAUGAAAAAGGGUCAAAUACCUGGGCCUUCCUGAAGCACAAAUCAUUCUGUGAAGGCAAACAAUUUAGUAGUUAUACAGUCUGAUUUCCCAGAGCAAGCAAUGCUCAUCCUACCAUUGCUUAUGUUUAUGUACAAUUUAAGAGGACCAAAUGGCUUCGUCGCACUGUGGAGUGUCAAUGCUGGUGUCAUUAACAUACAAUUAUACAUGCGUGGAGCAGAUCAUCGAGUACCUGUCCUCUUAAUAAAUCACAUCAUGAAAAGCUAUGGUUUAGAUGUCACUUUCAUUUCAUAAAAUGAUUCACCACAGUAUGUCUUAAAAGCUAGUUUUGCUCAUGCAUUUAGUCUACAAUUCCACUGAUAGAGAUGUGAUUGCCUCGCAACUUGUCAGAAACACAUCCUCUGAAUAAAACAUGGUACUCCUCCCAGCCACAGAAUGCCAACCUUGAUCCAGAUCUAUUUUGGGCGCUUGGCUCCUAGAAAUGAAUGAAAGUCGUUGUUGAGGUGGAAUUUUGCUUCAGGUCCUGUGGGACUUGAUGAGGACAUUCUUCCCAGCACAAGAAGCUGACCAGGGACAGGGUGCCACAGCUGAGUGUGUUACUGAGGAUAAACAUAUUUAAACCGCUGUUUGUGGACAGUUCCCCUCCUCCUUUACUGUCAACAUAUAUCAUAAAAUAAAUCCUUUCAUUUCAUCUUAGGAAGGCAAGAUAUUCAGGCUAGUGAUGAAAGAACAGUAAGGAGAGACUUGAUAGCCCAGACCAGUAGCAGCUAAACUAACCUUGAAAGCAGAAGAAAAAAAAAAGAGAGCCACUAAGCCACCGAGUGAGAAUGGGUGGCAGGAAGAGUUAGAGAGAUCCUGCCCAUUCGCAUUUCCUUCUCUUCACUCUCUCUUCAGCCUGUCUCUUGACAAGAGUGUCCCGGUUCACCCAUCGCAAAUCUCCACUUACCAUGACAGGCAUGAGGAUGGAAUGUCCUAUCUCGAGACACCUACAGGCUAACUGAGGAAUAGAAAUCAGGGAGGGAAGCAGCUCCUAGGUCUUACAGUUUAAUGAUUACACCGCCGUUUUCAGCCCCUGACUUCAUUAAAUUCAGGGUAAGGACGACCCACACGACGUCCUUCUCGUGCCAGGUACUUGGCAAGUCAGAACCAGUCGCCGCUGUGUCCUCCCGGCAAGAUGAGCGCAGGUUUCAGAAGCCCCAGCUCUGGAAGUUUGCUGUGCCAGGCUCCUCGGAGCAGCACCACUGCCCCAGACGAACACGCACACACACGCACUCACACACACACACACGCACACGCACGCACACACACACACACGCACGGCUCAUUGGACA